rnacentral:lncRNA from 1 species
UUCGCCUCCAGAUUAUCUUUUUAUAGUACUGAACCUAACUUUUUAGUAAUUUUAAAGGUAAAUUGAUUGUUUUGUAUAUAAGCCAUUUCAAAGUUCAUUUGGCAACGAAAGCCUGUUAUUUACUCGAAGGUAUUUUGUUGGGUCCUUUUUUUUUUGGGUUUUUCGAAAUAUUUUAUUUCUACACGAUUUUCCUCACAUGAAUAGUUAGUGGGACCCACAUCCUUGAUUUUGGGAGAGACCCAUGUGAUGUGGAAGUAUCAUAUUUCCACGUGGAAACAUUAGUUCCCUUUUUUUUUGGUAUGUGGAACUAGUGUUGCUUUAGGUUUUAAAAGAUUCAUAAGAGUAGUAGGAUUCUAUUUCAAAUAUGCUAG